rnacentral:rRNA from 1 species
UGGGGAAUAUUGCACAAUGGGCGCAAGCCUGAUGCAGCCAUGCCGCGUGUGUGAAGAAGGCCUUCGGGUUGUAAAGCACUUUCAGCGAGGAGGAAGGUGGUGAGCUUAAUACGCUCAUCAAUUGACGUUACUCGCAGAAGAAGCACCGGCUAACUCCGUGCCAGCAGCCGCGGUAAUACGGAGGGUGCAAGCGUUAAUCGGAAUUACUGGGCGUAAAGCGCACGCAGGCGGUUUGUUAAGUCAGAUGUGAAAUCCCCGGGCUCAACCUGGGAACUGCAUUUGAAACUGGCAAGCUAGAGUCUCGUAGAGGGGGGUAGAAUUCCAGGUGUAGCGGUGAAAUGCGUAGAGAUCUGGAGGAAUACCGGUGGCGAAGGCGGCCCCCUGGACGAAGACUGACGCUCAGGUGCGAAAGCGUGGGGAGCAAAACAGGAUUAGAUACCCUGGUAGUCCACGCUGUAAACGAUGUCGAUUUUGGAGGUUGUGCCCCUUGAGGCGUGGCUUCCGGAGCUAACGCGUUAAAUCGACCG